GGCUGACCGAUCCCGAUCAAAUUCGAGCCAGGGUGAAAGAACAUCGAUCUGGGUAAUUGGAUUUUGACCGAGAUCAAAAGAAAAGAGAGAAGAGACUGAGUCUGAGGCCAAAUACAAAUAUAUGCCUAUCGGCAUAGAUCUUCCUUUUGCCGAAUCUCCCUUUUCAUCGGUGUCAAAGGAGUUGUGCAGACGAAGCACUGUCAAUCUGAGUCUAUCUAUUUUUGGGUUUACCAGUACCUUUGCCUUUUCAGGUGCUUUUCCUCGCUAAUAUAAGGCCAUGGCUGGAGUUGAAAAAAAAAAGAAGAAGUGGGAUUCGAGAGUGAGAGACUAUAGGUAGAGGGCCUUGGUGAGGAUUCUUCUUUGCUACGUUAUAAUUUCAUUUGUUGUCCAAAAAGUAUUACUGAAUCUAUGUCUUUUGAAUUUAGCCCUUAUUGGGACAUGUUGUAUAUUUCAAUUUCAUUAUUAGUGAACACAGGCAUGACCUUCCUUAUUAUUCCAAGAAAUAAUUUGACACUGCUGAAAGUGAAUCAGCCUGCCUCCCUUAUUAUUUUU